UACGUAGGGUGCAGGCGUUAAUCGGAAUUACUGGGCGUAAAGCGUGCGCAGGCGGUUUGCUAAGACAGGUGUGAAAUCCCCGGGCUUAACCUGGGAACUGCGCUUGUAACUGGCAAGCUAGAGUGUGGCAGAGGGGGGUGGAAUUCCACGUGUAGCAGUGAAAUGCGUAGAGAUGUGGAGGAGCACCGAUGGCGAAGGCAGCCCCCUGGGCUAACACUGACGCUCAUGCACGAAAGCGUGGGGAGCAAACAGG
rnacentral:rRNA from 1 species